rnacentral:lncRNA from 1 species
CAUUAGAGACCUUAUAAACCAGGCCUCUCACCUUUAUGAAAGGGCUACUAAGGGUUGGCUCUGCUGGGGUGUCUCCUGCUCUUCACUCUCAGCUCUUCCCUUUAAUGGGAUCCCUGGCCUCUGUCUUCCUUCUCCUUUUGGGGCCUUGCUUUCUCAAUCUUUUCAGUUGAUUUCCUACCACUGAGAAACCAUCAGACUUCAAAUAGUCUUUUGAUGGGGAUAUCAACCUCUUUCUUUCCCUCCAGGACAACCAAGUCCCUGCAUAUCUCCUCUGGACACCACAGGUUAAACCUUCCAAGAGAUAGCAACAAUUGUCAAAACCUCCUCACCGUGAUAGCAAGCAAGGAGGAAGGACCCUUAAGACCUUCGAUGCUCCCUUUUUUCAGCAGCAGAAAUGAGAUGAUGAGAAUAUAAGUGCUUUAGAGUCAUGAAAUGUUGCCAAUGGGUGAAAAAAGAAAACGAAAAAUAAUUUUGUAACCGUUAAGCAUGAUGAAAAUGUAAAUGUCAGCUUUUACCAGCAAAAUCAGGUAAUAAGUCAUUUUACAAAACGACAGUGAAAGAGUAUACAAAUGAAGAUGUAGUGCCAGAGAAUAUUUUUGAGGUAAGUGGUAUUUAUUUUUAGUAUUUCUAGAUAACUUGAAAAAUUGUUUAUUUUAAACUUAAUGUAGUAGUUCCAAGGUAGACUUGGUUUCCUUGUAAGAUAUUGUUUUGCCAAGUCAUGUUAGACAUAAUAAAAGAUGUAAAAUCAUUCUGUCGAGAUACA